AGACCUCACCCUGCCCUGCCGUGCGCUCAACAGCCAGAUGCUGGGCCCAGACAAGCGCUCUUCCGCUAGUGUGCCGGGAUGAGCGGGGGCUGGACUUCUAGAAAGGGGUCUGCGGGCGCAGGAGCUGGGGUCCGCGGUCUGGGGCCGCCAACACAAGCCAUCAGCCCCAUGCUCAGCUCCCAGCAGGCAGAGCGUUCAGAAGCGCCAGCGCCAUCAUCUUGGGAGCCUGCAGUCCACACACCGCUGACCUUACCUACUUCCUCUUUCCAGGUCGUAGAUUACAGACUCUCCUCUGGGAAAUUGCCCCCAGAUCUAACAGGAGUACAAGAAGCUGGGUAGAUUGGAAAACAGCACCGAAUUCCCCUGGAACUGAGGACGGAAGCCUUCCCAGUCCUGCAGCCACCUGCAGACUCUCACAAGCACGGUGCUCCCGGGAGAAGACCUUGCUACCCCAGGCCCAAGGCAGUCGAGAGAAAACGGGAAGCCCUGAAGGUUUUUCACCCCGGGGGUGAGAGUGUAUGAUCGAAGAUAUAUUUGAGGGUAAUUGUACAGAUAGUCCCAACUUAGCAUUGUUCAACUUUAUGAUGGUAUGAAAGUGAUGACAUUCAGUAGAAAUUGUACUUCAAGUGCCAAUACAAUCAGUUUUUCACUUUUGGUGCAGUAUUCAAUAAAUUACAUGAGAUAUUCAACACUUUACUUUAAAAUAGGCUUUGUGUAAGAUGAUUCUGCCCAAAUGUAAGGCUGAUGCCAGUGCUCUGAGCACAUUUAAGGGAAAGCUGGGCUAAGCAAUGAUGUUCCACAAGUUAGGCAUAUUAAAUGCAUUUUUGACUUAGAAUAUUCUCAACUUGCAAUGGGUUUAUCAGAACAUGACAUCGUUAAUCACUCAAGGAGCAUCUGUACCACUAAUGACAUAGAUGCUGGUUGCAGGAAGGCAGCCAGAGGAGGGCACAGUGUGGAAGAACUCAACUUUUUAAAGACAGAGAUCAGCUUUAAAUAUUGCUAAGAAAGAACUUGGAGAGAGAAGUUGGUGAUACCGGAGACAGCAGGCAACAGACAGAGUGAGAGGCCCGAAGAACAAGAGGAGGAGGGAGUCUCUUCUGGGAGCAGAAGGAGUGUCGACUUAAAUAUUAGGGAGCCAAAGAUGAACCUCGCAGAGAACCUGCAAAACCCAGUUGCAGAAAUACCUGCCCACACCUAAAAACUCAGUCACUGAAAGUCUGAAGUCAAAUGAUUAUGUGAAAUCUUAGUAGUGGGUACAUGUGGUUUCAUUAGAUUAUUCUUUGUAUCUAUAUUUGUACUAUCUUAUAAGCACUAUAAGUUUUAAAACCAUACAAGAGGCUCUAUGGAAAAUAAAUUGGACUUCAUUAAAAUUCAAAACGUGUGCAUCAAAAGACACUGUCAAGAGAAUGAAAAGACAACCCAUAUGAUGGGAGAAAAUCACGUAUCUGACAAAGGUCUACAAUCCAGAACAUAUUAAAAAACUCCUACAAUUCAACAAUGAAAGACCGCCACCCAGUUUUAAAAUGGAAAAAGGACUUGACGUUUCCCCAAAGAUGUGCUCGUGACGAAUGAGCAUGUGAAGAGAUGCUCACUGUUGGCCGGGCGCGGUGGCUCACGCCUGUAAUCCCAGCACUGUGGGAGGCGGAGGUGGGCGGAUCACCUGAGGUCAGGAGUUUGAGACCAGCCUGGCCAACAUGGUGAAACCCCGUUUCUACUAAAAAUAGAAAAAAUUAGCCAGGUGUGGUGGCAGGCGCCUGUAAUCCAGCUACUCAGGAGGCUGAGGCUGGAGAAUUGCUUGAACCUGUGAGGCAGAGGUUGCAGUGAGCUAAGAUCGUGCCAUUGCACUCCAGCCUAGGCAACAAGAGUGAAACUCCGUCUCAAAAAAGAAAGAAAAGAAAAGAUGCUCACUGUCAUUAGUCAUAAAGGAAAUGCAAAUCAAAAGUACAGUGAGAUGCCACUUAACACCCACUACGAUGGGUAAUCAUAGGAUGGGAAAAAUAAAAUAAGUGUGGGUGAGGAUGUGGAAAAAUCAACCCUCACACACUGCUGGUGAGAAUGUAAGAUGGUGCAGCUGCUAUGUGACCGUCUGGCAGUCCCUCGAAUGAUUAAACAUAGAGUUAUAAUGUGACCCAGCAAUUCCAUAUAUACCCAAGAGAAAUGAGCAUUAUUCCUAAUAGACAAGGGAAGAAACAGCCCCACGGUUCAUCAGCCCAUGAGUAGAUUAACUAAAUGUGGCAUAUGCAUAUAAUGGAAUACUGUUCCGCCAUGACAAAGAGUGAGGUGCUGAUAAACGGUACCACGUGCAGGGACCUUGAAAACAGAUUAAGUGAGAGAAGUCAGUCACCAAAGACCACAUAUUACCUGAUUCCAUUCAUCUGCACGGUCCAGAACAAGGGAGUCUACAGAGAUAGUUGGUUAGUGGUUGCCUAGGGCUUGGGGAAGAGGUCUGGGGAGUGGAGAAGUGAUGGGUAUAGUAUACACGGUUCCUUUUUGGGGUGAUGAAAAUGUUCUAAAAUGGACUGUGGUACUGGUUGCUUAUUUUAAUAUAUCUGUGAAUAUAUUAAAAAACCAUUGAAUUGUACACUUUACAUGGAUCAGCUAUACAGUAUGUGAACUAUUUCUCCAUAAAGCUGGGGGUUUUUUUGUUUUUGUUUUUGUUUUUUAUUUAGAUGGAGUCUCACUCUGUUGUCCAGGCUGGAGUGCAGUGGCGCGAUCUCGGCUCACUGCAACCUCCACCUCCUGAGUUCAAGCGAUUCUCCUGCCUCAGCCUCCUGAGUAGCUGGAAUUACAGGCACACGCCACCAUGGCCAGUUAAUUUUUGUAUUUUUAGUAGAGAUGGAGUUUCACCAUGUUGGUCAGGCUGGUCUCAAACUCCUGACCUCAUGAUCCGCCCGCCUCAGCCUCCCAAAGUGCUGGGAUUACAGGCGUGAGCCACCGGCCCAGCCAAAGCUGUUUUUAAAAAACCAUACAUACAGUGAGAUAUCACUUCAUAUCCACUAGUCUGGGCCAUCAUUUUUAAAAUGGAAAAUCACAAGGGCUGGUGAGGAUGUGGAGAAAUUGUAACACUCAUGCAAUGUUGGUGGGAAUGUAAGAUGGUACUGCCACUUUGGAAAAGAGUGUGGAGGUUCCUCAGUAAGGUUAAACACAGAAUUACCAUAUGAUCUAGUAAUUCUACUCCUAGGUACAUACCUCAGAGAAUUGAAAACAGGUGUUCAAACAGAAAUUUGGACUUAAUGUUCAUAGCAGCUCCAUCCACAAUAGCCAAAAGGUGGAAACAACCCAAGUUUCCAUGAACAGAUAAACAGAUCAACAAAACGUGCUAUGUUCAUACAAUGGAAGAGUAUUAGCUCCAAAAGGAAGCACUGAUGCAUUCUACAACAUGGUUGAGCCUAGAAAACAUGCUAAGUGAAAGAAGCCAGACACAAAAGACCAAUGUAUGACUCCACUGAUGUGAAAUCUCCAGAAUGGACCAAUCCCUACAGAGGGGAGCAGAUCAGUGGCUGCCCAGAGCUUGGAGGAGGGGAAUAGGGAGUCACUCCUUCCUGGGCACCAGGUUUCGGUUUGGGGUGAUGAAAUGUUCUAUAACCAGACAGUGGUGAUGGUUGCAUAACAUUGUAAAUAUGCUUAAUGCCACUGGAUUGCACAAUUUAAAAUGGUUAUGAUGGUAAAUUUUAUGUUAUGUGUGUUUUACCACGUACACACAUAAAACUUAUUUUGUGCCAUUAAAAAGAAAAAGCUCUAUGAAGCACCU
rnacentral:lncRNA from 1 species